GUAUAAGCAAUUAUACGGCGAAACUGCGAAUGGCUCAUUAUAUAAGUUAUCGUUUAUUUGAUAAUACUUUACUACUUGGAUAACCGUGGUAAUUCUAGAGCUAAUACAUGCUAAAAAUCCCGACUUCGGAAGGGUUGUAUUUAUUAGAUUAAAAACCAAUGCCCUCUGGGCUCUCUGGUGAAUCAUAAUAACUUGUCGAAUCGCAAGGCCUUGUGCCGGCGAUGGCUCAUUCAAAUUUCUUCCCUAUCAACUUUCGAUGUUUGGGUAUUGGCCAAACAUGGUGGCAACGGGUAACGGAGGGUUAGGGCUCGACCCCGGAGAAGGAGCCUGAGAAACGGCUACUACAUCCAAGGAAGGCAGCAGGCGCGCAAAUUACCCAAUCCCGACACGGGGAGGUAGUGACAAUAAAUACUGAUACAGGGCUCUUAUGGGUCUUGUAAUCGGAAUGAGUACAAUUUAAAUCCCUUAACGAGGAACAAUUGGAGGGCAAGUCUGGUGCCAGCAGCCGCGGUAAUUCCAGCUCCAAUAGCGUAUAUUAAAGUUGUUGUGGUUAAAAAGCUCGUAGUUGAACCUUGGGCCUGGCUGGCCGGUCCGCCUCACCGCGUGCACUGGUCCGGCCGGGCCUUUCCCUCUGUGGAACCUCAUGCCCUUCACUGGGUGUGACGGGGAAACAGGACUUUUACUUUGAAAAAAUUAGAGUGCUCCAGGCAGGCCUAUGCUCGAAUACAUUAGCAUGGAAUAAUAAAAUAGGACGUGUGGUUCUAUUUUGUUGGUUUCUAGGACCGCCGUAAUGAUUAAUAGGGACAGUCGGGGGCAUCAGUAUUCAAUUGUCAGAGGUGAAAUUCUUGGAUUUAUUGAAGACUAACUACUGCGAAAGCAUUUGCCAAGGAUGUUUUCAUUAAUCAGGAACGAAAGUUAGGGGAUCGAAGACGAUCAGAUACCGUCGUAGUCUUAACCAUAAACUAUGCCGACUAGGGAUCGGACGAUGUUAUAUUCUUGACGCGUUCGGCACCUUACGAGAAAUCAAAGUGCUUGGGCUCCAGGGGGAGUAUGGUCGCAAGGCUGAAACUUAAAGAAAUGACGGAA
rnacentral:rRNA from 1 species